rnacentral:rRNA from 1 species
CGCAUCUGUGCAUGCAGCAUAUCAAUAAGCGGAGGAAAAGAAACUAACAAGGAUUCCCUCAGUAACGGCGAAGUGAAGCGGGAAGAGCUCAAAUUUGAAAUCUUGAAAGGUCACCUUUCACGAAUUGUAGUUUAAAGAAGUGUUUUCUGUUACGAUCGUAAUAUAAGUUCUUUGGAAUAGGACAUCACAGAGGGUGAGAAUCCCGUCUAUGAUUGCGAUUUGUAGCUUUGUGAUACACUUUCAAAGAGUCGGGUUGUUUGGGAAUGCAGCCCAAAACGGGAGGUAAAUUUCUUCUAAGGCUAAAUAUUGGCGAGAGACCGAUAGCGAACAAGUACCGUGAGGGAAAGAUGAAAAGAACUUUGAAAAGAGAGUUAAAUAGUACGUGAAAUUGUCAAAAGGGAAGCGUUUAACACCAGUGUUGUUUUCUGAAAAUCAACCUCUGUUAGCUUUAUGCAUGUUUGUUUAGACCUAAUCAACUAUCUUGCAUGUUCUAUUGUUUGCAGUGGUGCACUUUUCAGUUUACAGGUCAACAUCAGUUUUUUUUACCGUAAAAAAGUUAAAGAAAGGUAGCUCAUGGCUCCGGUCGUGAGUGUUAUAGUCUUUUUCCUAUGCGGUAGGAGAGACUGAGGUCUGCAGUGUAGGCUAUUUGGCUAGAUACUCAGGUGCUAUGUGAUACCAUUUCAUAAACAACUUGUUGAUUAUGUUUUGUCUAUUGCAUACUCGCUUGUACUAUCAUACCUACGCUUAGGAUGUUGACGAUCAGCUGAGCGCG